UUUAAAUGUGAAUUUUUAACCUGGGUAGUAAUAGUUAUGUUCUUGAAACCCAAAGAAUUUGGCGGUAUUUUAGUCUUUUCAGAGGAAUCUGUCCCGUAAUCGACAACCCACGAUAUUAUUUACUUGUUCUUGUAUUCAGUUUGUAUACCUCCGUCAUCAGGAAAUCUUAUGAAAGUUUAAUUUUCUUAAUAUUUAUAAUAUAAUAUGUCAGGUCAAGGUGCAAUUUAUGAAUAAGUGGAGAUGGAUUACAAUAGUUUUAAUUAAAUGGAUUAAAUUAUUUAUUUGUUUAUGAAGGUGGAUUUGAUAGUAAUUUUGGUUGAAUUUGCCAUUUUGAUUUUAGCUCUAAAAUAUGC
rnacentral:rRNA from 1 species